rnacentral:rRNA from 1 species
GCACAAGCGGUGGAUGAUGUGGUUUAAUUCGAUGCAACGCGAAAACCUUACCACCUUUGACAUGUACGGAACCCUUUAGAGAUAGAGGGGUGCUCGAAAGAGAGCCGUAACACAGGUGCUGCAUGGCCGUCGUCAGCUCGUGUCGUGAGAUGUUGGGUUAAGUCCCGCAACGAGCGCAACCCUUGUCAUUAGUUGCUACAUUCAGUUGGGCACUCUAAUGAGACUGCCGGUGACAAGCCGGAGGAAGUGGGGAUGACGUCAAGUCCUCAUGGCCCUUAUAGGUGGGGCUACACACGUCAUACAAUGGCUGGUACAAAGGGUUGCCAACCCGCGAGGGGGAGCCAAUCCCAUAAAGCCAGUCGUAGUCCGGAUCGUAGUCUGCAACUCGACUACGUGAAGUCGGAAUCGCUAGUAAUCGUGGAUCAGAAUGUCACGGUGAAUACGUUCCCGGGUCUU